UCUGUCCUUUUUUGCAUAUUAUAGGACAACGUGUGCAGGAAUCCAUGGGGCGUGUGGAUUCUCAGGGAGUUUUGCUGCGCACCCUUCAGCUAAACCCACGAAGGCGCAGGAGGUACUCUGUACCAGCGCCAAACAGUUUGUGGCACAUCGACGGAAAUCACAAGUUAAUAAGAAUAGAGAGGCUCUGGAGAUAUGUUUACACCGGAGUGCUUGAUCUCUUCUACAGCAUCUUUAACAACCUUGAGAGAGAAGGGCUUCUAAAUCCUGACAGCGAAGUUCAUGUGUUUGCUCUACAUUGGUGCUUUCUGCCUCACGUUCAGAAGCACCUUGAGGUUUUCUAGCGUGGCUGGAACUGCCACCAACUGAGCACUGAGGGAAAUCAGUCCCCACUUCAGCUGUGGUCUCGCCAUGAACAUGAGGCACAGCAGGACCUCAUGCAGGUUGUCACGGACUAUGGAGUUGACUGGACUGGACCAAAUGGUUAUCAUCAGCCUGAUGUUGUGGUCCCUGAAGUUCAGCUACAGUGCUCGCUGAUAGAGCAGGAAAUACAAAGACUACCAAAACCUGAUGGCCCUCUGUCCAAUGUGUUGGAUGUCUACAUACAAACUGUGAGCCAGUUAUCAGAAAUGCUCCUGUAAAUUCCGGAUUCAAAAGCUGUAAGAUGCAGAAGGUUUAACCUAAAUAAGAAGCAAGUAGUAGUUAAUGCUGUACUUUAUAACAGCUGUGAUACUAAUGGGGAUUUCCUGUAAGAUUCCAAUUUUCUUGUUAAAAUCACAAUUAAAGACGAUUCUGAGA